GAACAGACAUACACUCUGUAGCAGAGAACAUUUAACAUUCAAACUACAAAUACAAAUAACAGGCUAUGUACACGAAUGUAGACACUGUAGACACAAUGUAGUGUGGCAACAAAACAACAUAUUUUAUUGUGAGAUUAUUAUUAAUCAUAUGAGAAGUGUUAUUCAGCAUUAAGACAUUUCAGAAAUGAAAUGGUUGGUUGGGAUAUGAGAUGAAUAGAGCAAUGUAACUUUAACAAUGGGAAUAGCUCAGUGGUUAAGAUGCUGGACCCUAAAUUGGAAGGACAUGAGUUCAAAGCCCUUAACUUUUAAUUGUUGGUCUGAAAACUAUUGUGAAAGUUUUAUAAACCAGCUUUCCACCCCCUUUAUCUUUAGGUUCAUAACUCAAAUUACAGGUGUCCAAACAGUCUCCAUAUAUAUGAGAAAUUAAUCCUUUUAACCUAAAUAUUUCAAAUUAGUCUUAUAUUUGAUAUAGACCAUUUCGACGAUGUAAACAAUAAGCACGUUGUGAUGAUACUGCGCAUGUGUGGUCCUAAAGCAUUUUCGUUGGCGCCAUUUUGAAACCACGAACCUUUUAGAACACAAUCACUAACACGUGAUUUUACAAUUUAGCUAAAACAGAAAAGCUAAUAUACAUACAACUUUACGUGCAGUACCGUAUACAGAUGUGUAUUUUCUGGUUGAGACCGAAAGCGAGAAAAGCGUCAUGCCUGCAGUAUUAUAUUUAGUCUGGAUGACUACAAUGACUUCCAUAGCGGAAAUUUUAGGAGAUCUUUGGAAACAUUGGAGAACUGGAGAUAAUACCGCAAGAACAGUGAUUGGAACCGUAUGUGCGAUAGUUGUGUGUGCGUGUGUGUGAGAGAGAGAUAAACCGAGUGUUGUGAUCUUCAGAGCUCCCUGUCGGUGUCCGAACUGCAGUGGUGAGAAACCGAUCAUCGGCAGAACAAAGCAAAGAACCCACGAUGGUAGUAGGUAGAACCAGAUUGGCCUGCUGUGCUUCUGGCUGCUUUUGAUGGACACUACACAAAUGUCCACAGACAGACUGGCCACUCUGGCUCCAGCAUGACAGAUAAGUGGACACAGCUGGACAGUCGGGACUAGUGGAUGCACACUGUCUGAUGAUUUACUCACAGCUCAGUGACAGGCUGAGGAGCAAGGGCCUGUCAACUUGCCGCUCUCUCAGAAAGAAACUCAAACCACAUGGAAGUAUGGGAGAUCCCCUUUCAUCUGCCACAUUUGAGGAACAUACAAACCCACCAGGUGGAUUGUUUUCCUCUACAAAUGCGAAGGGAUUUCUAUAAUACUUGUUGUGUUUUCAAUUUCACACUAAUAAAGCACAAUAAU